rnacentral:rRNA from 1 species
GUACUGCGGAGGGAUCAUUA